rnacentral:rRNA from 1 species
GACGAACGCUGGCGGCGUGCUUAACACAUGCAAGUCGAACGAUGAUGCCCUGCUUGCAGGGUGGAUUAGUGGGGAACGGGUGAGUAACACGUGGGUGAUCUGCCUCGUACUUCGGGAUAAGCCUGGGAAACUGGGUCUAAUACCGGAUAGGACCUUCCUUUAGUGUGGAAGGUGGAAAGUUUUUUCGGUACGAGAUGAGCCCGCGGCCUAUCAGCUUGUUGGUGGGGUAAUGGCCUACCAAGGCGACGACGGGUAGCCGGCCUGAGAGGGUGUACGGCAAGAUUGGGACUGGGACACGGCCCAAACUCCUACGGGAGGCAGCAGGGGGGAAUCUUGCACAAUGGGCGAAAGCCUGAUGCAGCGACGCCGCGUGGGGGAUGACGGCCUUCGGGUUGUAAACCCCUUUCGCUAGGGAAGAAGCCACUUUGUGGUGACGGUACCUGGAUAAGAAGCACCGGCUAACUACGUGCCAGCCGCCGCAGUAA